GGAUGUGAGGGCGAUCUGGCUGCGGCAUCUGUCAACCCAUUGAUCGCCAGGGUUCUAGUCGGGUCGCCCCUGCCUCCCUCACCGCUCCAUGUGCGUCCCUCCUGAAGCUGCGCGCUCGGUCGAAGAGGACGACCUUCCCCGAUAGAAGCGUACCGUUCAUCGGUCAAGGGUAUACGGUAGCUGCGCUCCCCUGCUAGAACCUCCAAACAAGCUCUGUGGUAUAGCGUUGUGGCAAUAGUAAAAGUACUUAGGA
rnacentral:snRNA from 1 species